GUACUUGCUUCCGCAGCACGUAUGCUAAAAUUGGAACAAUGCAGAGCAGAUUAACAUGGCCCCUAUGCAAGGGUGAUACACAAAUUUAUGGAGUAUUCCAUAUUUUG
ensembl:snRNA U6 U6 spliceosomal RNA